rnacentral:lncRNA from 1 species
UUGAAAUGAAAUUGAGAUGUAAUAGUUAGUCGGGUUAAUUCUAUUAGUUAAACUCUGUUAGAUUUAGGGUUAGCUGUUGAUGAUUUUUUGUUAUGAAAUGUUAUGAAAUUCGGUUGAAUAAGUCAUAUGCAGUUAGAACUCUGGUAUGCCAAUUCUCUAUUAGUUGUAAUGAAGUCACUUUUAUGUUCAGUUAAAAAAUUAUGCAGGCUGAACUGGUUUAAAUUUG